ACAAAGUAACCAGUCACAGUAACCAAUCACAGUAAACAGACAAAGUAACCAGUCACAGUAACCAAUCACAGUAAACAGAACAGAGACUAGGAGAGAUAGAGAACAGAACAGAGGCUAGGAGAGACAGAGAGCAGAACAGAGGCUAGGAGAGACAGAGAACAGAACAGAGGCUAGGAGAGACAGAGAGCAGAACAGAGAGACAGACAGAGAGCAGAACAGAGGCUAGGAGAGACAGAGAACCGAACAGAGGCUAGGAGAGACAGAGAGCAGAACAGAG
ensembl:lncRNA